rnacentral:rRNA from 1 species
GCCGGAGGUCACUGCUAUUGGGAUUCGACUAAGCCAUGCGAGUCGAGAGGGUUCGGCCCUCGGCUGACGGCUCAGUAACACGUGGAUAAUCUGCCCUUNAGGUGGAGGAUACCCUCGGGAAACUGAGAAUAAUACUCCAUAGGCNUAGGAUGCUGGAAUGCACNUAGGCUGAAAGUUCCGGCGCCUAAGGAUGAGUCUGCGGGCUAUCAGGUUGUAGUCAGGGUAAAGACCUGACUAGCNUACGACGGAUACGGGUUGUGAGAGCAAUAACCCGGAGAUGAUAUCUGAGACACGAUAUCAGGCCCUACGGGGCGCAGCAGGCGCGAAAACUUCACACUGUGCGAAAGCACGAUGAGGGAAUCCCAAGUGCUUGCACGUAAGUGUAAGCUGUUUUUCUGUCUAAAACACAGAGAGAGUAAGAGCUGGGUAAGACGGGUGCCAGCCGCCGCGGUAAUACCUGCAGCUCAAGUGGUGGCCGCUAUUAUUGGGCCUAAAACGUUCGUAGCCGGUUUAGUAAAUGCCUGGGUAAAUCGUGUAGCUUAACUAUACGAAUUCCGGGUAGACUGCUGAACUUGAGACCGGGAGAGGCUAGAGGUACUCCUGGGGUAGAGGUGAAAUUCUGUAAUCCUGGGGGGACCACCAGUGGCGAAGGCGUCUAGCUAGAACGGGUCUGACGGUGAGGGACGAAGCCCUGGGGCACAAACCGGAUUAGAUACCCGGGUAGUCCAGGGUGUAAACGCUGCUUGCUUGAUGUUAGUUGGGCUCUGAGCCCGAUUAGUGUCGGAGAGAAGUUGUUAAGCAAGCUGCCUGGGAAGUACGGUCGCAAGGCUGAAACUUAAAGGAAUUGGCGGGGGAGCAC